rnacentral:SRP_RNA from 1 species
GAGCAGGCUAGACUGGGAAGUUAGCCCUCUCCUGUCACCGCAUAUGGGCUUUAUGGCGGAGUUGAAGCUCAGAAAGAGGUCAGUUUGGGUGGUAGCAGUCUUGGUUUGGACGUUGAUAUUCUGUCCUGCAGGAUCAUUAGUCUUGAGAACCAUGUCAGGGCAGGAAUGCAGCAGCAUUAAUCAUGAUUAUCGAUGCUUGCAGGGUAGCGGAAUGGAGGAAGAACCAAGGUCAACUGUUGCGAUCUGAUCUGGUCCAUUUCUGGGCAUGCCUGCUC